CUGGCGGCGUGCCUAAUACAUGCAAGUCGAACGAAGUUUUCUUUCACCGAAUGCUUGCAUUCACCGAAAGAAGCUUAGUGGCGAACGGGUGAGUAACACGUAGGCAACCUGCCCAAAAGAGGGGGAUAACACUUGGAAACAGGUGCUAAUACCGCAUAACCAUGAACACCGCAUGAUGUUCAUGUAAAGGACGGCUUUUGCUGUCACUUUUGGAUGGGCCUGCGGCGUAUUAACUUGUUGGUGGGGUAACGGCCUACCAAGGUGAUGAUACGUAGCCGAACUGAGAGGUUGAUCGGCCACAUUGGGACUGAGACACGGCCCAAACUCCUGCGGGAGGCAGCAGUAGGGAAUCUUCCACAAUGGACGAAAGUCUGAUGGAGCAACGCCGCGUGAAUGAAGAAGGCCUUCGGGUCGUAAAAUUCUGUUGUCAGAGAAGAACGUGCGUGAGAGUAACUGUUCACGUAUUGACGGUAUCUGACCAGAAAGCCACGGCUAACUACGUGCCAGCAGCCGCGGUAAUACGUAGGUGGCGAGCGUUGUCCGGAUUUAUUGGGCGUAAAGGGAACGCAGGCGGUCUUUUAAGUCUGAUGUGAAAGCCUUCGGCUUAACCGAAGUAGUGCAUUGGAAACUGGAAGACUUGAGUGCAGAAGAGGAGAGUGGAACUCCAUGUGUAGCGGUGAAAUGCGUAGAUAUAUGGAAGAACACCAGUGGCGAAAGCGGCUCUCUGGUCUGUAACUGACGCUGAGGUUCGAAAGCGUGGGUAGCAAACAGGAUUAGAUACCCUGGUAGUCCACGCCGUAAACGAUGAGUGCUAAGUGUUGGAGGGUUUCCGCCCUUCAGUGCUGCAGCUAACGCAUUAAGCAGCUCCGCCUGGGGAGU
rnacentral:rRNA from 1 species